UACGUAGGGGGCUAGCGUUGUCCGGAAUCAUUGGGCGUAAAGCGCGUGUAGGCGGUUCGGUAAGUCCGCUGUGAAAGUCGGGGGCUCAACCCUCGAAAGCCGGUGGAUACUGUCGGACUAGAGUGCGGAAGAGGCGAGUGGAAUUCCUGGUGUAGCGGUGAAAUGCGUAGAUAUCUGGAGGAAUACCGAUGGCGAAGGCAGGUCUCUGGGCUGACACUGACGCUCAUGCACGAAAGCGUGGGGAGCAAACAGG
rnacentral:rRNA from 1 species